CUCCAAUGCAGAGCUUAGCCAGUGAAGAUUCUUGGCUUUUCCCAGUAAAGAAUUCAAGGGCAAGCAGGAGAUAGAAGAAAACAGCUUUAUUGAAGACACGGUGUUACAGCUCCAGAGUCCUCAAUCUGGUCCGGUGUCCAAGCCCCGCCUCUGGAGUAGAGUCCUGUCUCCUACUUCAGAACCAGCAAUGGAGAGUGGAGAGCAGCAGCCACUAACGGAAGAGGGAAACCAAGAGACUAUGGCAUGGCAUCCUAGAAACCACGGGAAGAAAGGACAACAAGGAGAAGGGAGUGACUGUGUCAAAUGCUGCUGAUAGGUCCAGAAAGAUGAGGACAGAACAUACUGCC
rnacentral:lncRNA from 1 species